CUACUAUUGAACUACUGCUAAAGACCAAGUUAGGAACUACUGUUGAACUUUCUUCGGCACCGUUUUUAUAUUUUAAAUGCGGUUACUUCAAAAGGUGUGCCGAAUGCGUCAGUACUACUGGUGCGAACUGCCAUUGGUGUUCAAAAACUGCAACCUGUCAAAUGCCGAAUUCAUGUUCCGUGGAGUCAAUCUCAGAAAUCACUGCUUGCCCUCAAUUACUGGACAAAAAAGGGACCUACUUCAUACCAAACGGAAUUAGAACUAUUGUAGAUAUCAAGAUUGUUAACCUCGUACUAG